UUUGAGGAUGUAUUCAAGUCUAUUAAGUGAAGUCUAUGACAUGAAGAACACAUGUUACUGGACCUGGAAACAGGGCCAGUCUAUUCCUGAACUGAACUCUGAAACCAAACAUGACUUUACAGAAGAGCUGGCCAUGGAAUUCAAUGUUAACAGAAUGAGGGAAAUGUGACAACAGCAUCUCCGAUAGCCAAGACAAGGCAAAGAAGGUACCUCUGCCAAGUCUCCUGAAAAUAACAGAAAACAGAAGGAUUAAAGAAUAUUAUAGGAAGAGAAGACAGACAUGGGUAGAAGCUGAUCAGACAGAUGGUAUGAAGAGGGAAUUGCAUAUGGCAUGAAUUUGGCAAAGACCAUGGUAUGUAUGUAUGAG